rnacentral:rRNA from 1 species
AUCAGCGUCAGUAACAACAUAAUAAUUACAACUUUCAACAACGGAUCUCUUGGUUCUGGCAUCGAUGAAGAACGCAGCGAAAUGCGAUAAGUAGUGUGAAUUGCAGAAUUCAGUGAAUCAUCGAAUCUUUGAACGCACAUUGCGCCCUUUGGUAUUCCAAAGGGCAUGCCUGUUCGAGCGUCAUUUGUACCCUCAAGCUUUGCUUGGUGUUGGGCGUCUUGUCUCCAGUUCGCUGGGGACUCGCCUUAAAGUCAUUGGCAGCC